ensembl:misc_RNA Metazoa_SRP Metazoan signal recognition particle RNA
GCCAGGCGUGGUGGUGCACGCCUGUAAUCCCAGCUACUUGGGAGGCUGACACAGGAGGAUCACUUGAACCCAGGAGGUGAAGGUGGCAGUGAGCUGAGAUCGUGCCACUGCACUCCAUCCUGGAUGACAGAGUGAGACUCUGUCUCAA